CGUUUCUAGUUUUGAAAACUUUGUAAAAUAUGAUUUAAUAUCAGAGUAACUUUGCGUUUACGAUUUUCAGUAAAAUCAUGUUUUGACUUUUUAAAUUUUCCUUUCAUUUGGCGACUUUAAGAACCACAAGCAGAUGGAACAUUAAGCAGGACAAAGCUUGCAGCAUUAGCGUGACAUUAUCUGACUGCAGCCAAGAAGCUGCAAGAAACGACAGAAACGCGUGUUAACAUCGAGGGAAACGUAGAAUCUUUCUAUGCUCCGCUAUAGAGCUACGAAUGUACCAUAAAAUGAUUUAACAGCCUGCAGAACUGGGAACUUUCAUUUUCGGAGGCGAUGCGAGGCGCCUUAGCAAAGAGGAAAUAUUGUUGGAAAAAUAAAAAUUACUUCAAUUAAGCGUGGAAAUAAAAAUCAACAAAUGGUGCUAGGCAUGAAACACAACUACGGAAGGCAGAAAAUGUGAACUGAAUAAACGCAAAAUUGAUGAGAAAAUUCAAUUUGGCUCCCAGGGUCAUAAGCGGCCAUUAAAUUUUUUAAACCGAAAUUUUAGGCAAAUUUUAAGCGUAAUCACAGUUUACUAUAUUGGAGGGAAAAGUAAAGAAAAUGAAUUCCCUCAGCAGUUGAGCUACAUUAAGUCAACUCAUUAUGAAAUUACGACUGCUGCUGCUUGCAAAGAAAAAAGCCGUAAAGAAAAUAAGUAGAAAAUCGCAAUGUCGAUGACGGGAAGCACGAAAAGCCGACAAAGAAAACAAAUUAAAUUUAAUCGAUUUGUGAAAAGCUGCCAGCCAACACAACGUCAUCAACAACGAAAAACUACUGCAGAAAUAGUACAACUAAAACUAGAAGUUGGCCAAGGCGCAUAGAAAAUUAAGUGAAGUGCGCUUCAACGCGAACCAAACGGGAACCAACCAAGGACCAACGAGCAACGACCAAUGGCCAACACCAGAAAAAGCUACUUGGCGUGAAAAUCUUCCGCCUUCUCACACAUUCCCUCCCUCUCUCUCUAUCUCUCACUCUCACUAAGCGCAUUCUAAACAAAUUAAAAUUCAAUUAAAAAGAUGAAAUGUCAUUUCAGUGCUUUAUAACUAAGAACGUAGACCAGAGAUUGGCAGCAAAGCCCAGCUGGCUGCCAA